GGAUAAUAUUUGUAGCCAUUCCGCACUUCUCUUGCCACUUUGUUUCUUCUCCAUGAAGAUUUGCUGGGUGCAAUCGGAAGAGAGCCCCUUGCUUCUUCUUCCUCUUUGGUCUUGUCGUCGUUCUGGUCCUUAGCCAUCAUCGCGGUCCUUUUUCAGUUGCUUCCAUCGUCUGAAGGCAGAUUUGAGGGUGGGAGCCAUCUGAGUGGUCAGGACUCUUCUUCCCGAUUGUCCAUCGAGGUGGGCUCUUCUUUCUGCUGUGGUGACUCCUCGGCUUGGGGAUUCGAGAGUCUAAUCCUCGAGCAUUUCUUGGGUCUAAAAAAUAAGGAAUCGGUUUGGACCAAUCCGACCUAACACGCCUUCGAAGUCAGUAAUGUAUUCCAAGUUAGCACCAUUUGUUGGCUCCAGGUCUGGAAGACCGGGUGAUCCUUAGCCAGAAGGGAAGCAAGAGAUAUUGGAAAGUAGGAGCGAGGAAGAAGACAUGGAGAAAUGUUUCAGAGAUGAAUGCUCUGUAACUGAUAAUGUCAUAAAGGAACAAGGUAGCUGUUAGCUUCUUCCGUCAGAUAAUUGUCGCCAUAUUAGUGUUAGUAAUGUCAGUGGAUUUUUUUUUUAUUUCUAGGAUUUGUAUAUUUAGAGAUCAAAACUAUCAUUUAAAUUAUGAUUUUCAGAAAAAGAGUACUUAUAGUAUUACAUGAACACCAGGUCUUCGGCCGCUAGCCCAGAAGCUUAUAGGUAGUUUAUUAGUUCACCUGCUUACCAUCUUCAUGCAUUUUUUUAUUGAUCUAUGUAUGAAAUUAGUAGAAAUGAAGAAUUCCUUUGACAUCAUUGCAUGUAGAUGCGGCUAUGACAUGGUUAGAACGGAUUGUUGAAGAGAAAGGGGGAAC